UACAGAGGGUGCAAGCGUUGUUCGGAAUCAUUGGGCGUAAAGGGCGUGUAGGCGGUCUGUUAAGUCAUGUGUGAAAUCCCUCGGCUCAACCGGGGAACGACGCAUGAAACUGACAAGCUAGAGUACCAAAGAGGGGGGUGGAAUUCCUGGUGUAGCGGUGAAAUGCGCAGAUAUCAGGAGGAACACCGGUGGCGAAGGCGGGUCUCUGGGCCGUAACUGACGCUAAGGAACGAAAGCCAGGGGAGCAAAAGGG
rnacentral:rRNA from 1 species